rnacentral:rRNA from 1 species
GAUGAACGCUGGCGGCGUGCCCAAUACAUGUAAGUCGAGCGAACAGACGAGGAGCUUGCUCCUCUGACGUUAGCGGCGGACGGGUGAGUAACACGUGGAUAACCUACCUAUAAGACUGGGAUAACUUCGGGAAACCGGAGCUAAUACCGGAUAAUAUAUUGAACCGCAUGGUUCAAUAGUGAAAGACGGUUUUGCUGUCACUUAUAGAUGGAUCCGCGCCGCAUUAGCUAGUUGGUAAGGUAACGGCUUACCAAGGCAACGAUGCGUAGCCGACCUGAGAGGGUGAUCGGCCACACUGGAACUGAGACACGGUCCAGACUCCUACGGGAGGCAGCAGUAGGGAAUCUUCCGCAAUGGGCGAAAGCUUGACGGAGCAACGCCGCGUGAGUGAUGAAGGUCUUCGGAUCGUAAAACUCUGUUAUUAGGGAAGAACAAAUGUGUAAGUAACUAUGCACGUCUUGACGGUACCUAAUCAGAAAGCCACGGCUAACUACGUG